AUUUCUUUAAGCUCCAGAGUCUUCAUCUGUAAAAUAAAAAAAAAGAUCUUUAUCAUGGAGUUAUGCAGAUUAAAUGAAAUGAUGCACUCAAAGCACAGAAUAUCUAACAUUUUUAGAUCCAAUUGAUGUUAGCCACUUAAUGGCUUACAUCUUAUACUUGAUGUUUUAAUUUUUUUUGACUGAUAUCAUGGGCUUUCAAAAGCCUGAUAACGCUGGCUGACUAAAAUAGAACCCAGACAAGAAAAGUAGAUGUGAUAGCAAUGAGGAGUAGAAAAUUGAUAGCUAAGCCAGUCAUUCUAUCCUUCUCUCCCUUUUUUCUGUUUUCAGUAGAAUCCAAGAAGACUCUAAAACCUCCAGUACUCAUGAAGAGAUGAGUUUGCUCAUUAUCAAUCUCAUUGAUCCUUAGCAUCGGAGCUGAGAGGGAGCCAGGAUGUUCAUCACACUGUGUAAAUGGCCUCUGUGAAGAACUUCCUGGGGUAUGGUCCAGCUUCCUGGAAUGGAAAAUUCUUCAAAUCAAAGGCAGAGGGUAAGGAAGAAAAUGAGAACUGAAACUGCUCCAAUCCCAGCUAGGAGAGAGGAAGAACUGUAAAGAAACCCCCCAAAUUACAUUGUAGAAUUAUUUUUCCCUAUGGUAUUAGGUUGAUCCCCCUUUCCUGGCCACCAGCAGCCCCUUUCCACACUUCUAGGAGCACCAGGAUCAAUUACCAUUCAUUGUUAUUUCAUGUGCAUAGACAACAGAACUUGCUGCUGUCAUAAAAGUAAAGGAACAGAUUUCUUAAAUUGCUACUUGAAGGAGCUCUUCUAUAUCAGUG
rnacentral:lncRNA from 1 species